rnacentral:misc_RNA from 1 species
GCAGUGAAAAAAAAAAAUCAAAGGAAGUAGGUGAAAUGUGAUCGUGAUUGAUAAAAUUCGAAAUUCAUACAAACAUAGUCCCGAUUCAGAAACACAAGUUUUACUUUUAGCUACAAGUUUUACUUAAAUUCCUAAAGCCCCUUUAUUUAAACCUACCAGCAAAUACUACUCAUUGCUCACCAAUCACCAUCAUAUGGCUGCUGGUUUUUCGUCGGAGGCGACAGCAUCAAACGGAGAUUCUUCGCGAGCAGACUCAUCCUUCACAUCGUCUGGAUCGCGGUCGGGGUCGGACUUGUCCAUGGCCGCACGAGCCUUGUCCAGAAAGGGCUUGAAAGCCAUCUCAAUCGCCAGCCAUCCGAAUGCUAGAGCUCCAAAAACGACUAUCGCUUGUUUCAUCGGCUUCGUUCCCAUCUUCAAAUGGUCUCUCUAUUCCGCCGCUUCGUCCACCUCCUGCACUUCUUUUUCUAGCUUUCGAUGCAAGAACGCUUACACAGUUGCGCCCCACUUUAGGAAGUGGGCCGCGAAUUUAUAUAUGCCAUGGGGUACCGAUAACAUAGAACCCGCGUGACAAAGAUCCGCGUGCACCAAGUUAUUUGUUGGUCACGCGAAUUGACAGCCAAUAUUGGCUUAUAGAUCAGAAAUAUUAUUGUCUAAAGAACCAACAUAUGUUAUCGUUUGCAAG